GCCAUGCUACAUAGGGCCAUG
rnacentral:miRNA from 1 species